GCGCACAGGUGCUGCAUGGCUGUCGUCAGCUCGUGCCGUGAGGUGUUAGGUUAAGUCCUGUAACGAGCGCAACCCCUGCCCCUAGUUACACGUGUCUAGGGGGACCGCCUGGGCAACUGGGAGGAAGGUGGGGAUGACGUCAAGUCAGCAUGGCCUGGAUGUCCUGGGCGACACACACGCUACAAUGGCCGGUACAAUGGGCAGCCAACCCGCGAGGGGGAGCCAAUCCCAUCAAAGCCGGUCUCAGUUGGGAUUGGGGGCUGCGACCCGCCCCCAUGAACGCGGAGUUGCUAGUAACCGCGCAUCAGCCAUGGUGCGGUGAAUACGUUCCCGGGCCUUGUACACACCGCCCGUCACGUCAUGGGAGCUGGCAACACCUGAAGCCGGUGGGCCAACCGCAAGGAGGCAGCCGUCGAGGGUGGGGCCGGUGACUGGGACGAAGUCGUAACAAGGUAGC
rnacentral:rRNA from 1 species